CACGGGGGGAGCAAGCGUUGUUCGGAAUCACUGGGCGUAAAGGGCGUGUAGGCGGUCGAGUAAGUGGAAUGUGAAAUGCCCCGGCUCACCCGGGGACCUGCAUCCCAAACUGCUCGGCUUGAGUAUGGGAGAGGAUGGGGGAAUUCCGUGGUGUAGCGGUGAAAUGCGCAGAUAUCAGGAAGAACACCCGUGGCUAAGGCGGCUCUCUAGUACGGUCACUGACGCUGAGACGCGAAAGCGUGGGGAGCGAACAGG
rnacentral:rRNA from 1 species